AAGCGAGUCCGAAUAGGGCGGUCCAGUCGCGUGUCCUAGACCCGAAGCGGAGUGAUCUAGCCAUGGGCAGGGUGAAGCAGCAGUAAGAUGUUGUGGAGGCCCGCACCCACUUCAGUUGAAAAUGGAGGGGAUGACCUGUGGUUAGGGGUGAAAGGCCAAUCAAACUCUGUGAUAGCUGGUUCUCCCCGAAAUGCAUUUAGGUGCAGCGUUGCGUGGUUGUUGCCGGAGGUAGAGCUACUGGAUGGCUGAUGGGCCCCACCGGGUUACUGACGUCAACUAAACUCCGAAUGCCGGUAAGGUUCAGCGUGGCAGUGAGACAGUGGGGGAUAAGCUUCAUUGUCGAGAGGGAAACAGCCCAGACCAUCAACUAAGGCCCCUAAGCGUGUGCUGAGUGGGAAAGGAUGUUCAGUUGCGAAGACAACCAGGAGGUUGGCUUAGAAGCAGCCACCCUUGAAAGAGUGCGUAAUAGCUCACUGGUCAAGUGAUUGAGCGCCGAUAAUGUAGCGGGGCUAAGUACACCGCCGAAGUUGUGGCAGCAUCACGAUACUGUAAUGGUGUGGUGUUGGGUAGGGGAGCGUCGUGUCGCCAGUGAAGUCGCCGUGUGAACGAGUGGUGGAGGCGUCACGAGUGAGAAUGCAGGCAUGAGUAGCGAAAGACGGGUGAGAAACCCGUCCACCGGAUGACCAAGGGUUCCAGGGCUAGGCUAAUCCGCCCUGGGUAAGUCGGGACCUAAGGCGAGGCCGACAGGCG
rnacentral:rRNA from 1 species